UACGUAGGGUGCAAGCGUUAUCCGGAAUUACUGGGCGUAAAGAGUACCGUAGGCGGUUUGGUAAGUAUGUGGUGAAAUCCUUCGGCUCAACCGAAGAACUGCUACAUAUACUGCCAGACUAGAGGAUAUCAGAGGAGGCUGGAAUUCUCGGUGUAGCAGUGAAAUGCGUUGAUAUCGAGAAGAACACCAAGGGCGAAGGCAGGCCUCUGGGAUAUUUCUGACGCUGAUGGACGAAAGCUAGGGUAGCAAAAGGG
rnacentral:misc_RNA from 1 species